AUGUUCUCCUCGCAGUCGCUUAGUCGCGUCAACAACAUCAGAACCUCUCUGGUGAAUGCCCAGAAGGGCAACAAGACCGUCGCCACCUACUUCGCCGAGAUGCGCGGCUUCGCCGAUGAGCUGGCCGCCGCCAGGAAGCCUCUCCAGGAUGAUGAACUUAUCUCCUACAUCCUGCAAGGCCUCGACAUGGACUACCAGCCACUCGUCUCCGCCCUCGAUGCCCGCAUCACCCCGGUAUCCAUCGAUGAGCUUUUUCAAUGCUUAGCAACUUUGAUCAGAGGGUGGUGCAGUACCAGGGAUCGGGCGGCUUCAAGUCGUCGGCUAACGCCGUGA
rnacentral:rRNA from 1 species